rnacentral:rRNA from 1 species
UACGUAGGUGGCAAGCGUUAUCCGGAAUUAUUGGGCGUAAAGAGCGCGCAGGUGGUUGAUUAAGUCUGAUGUGAAAGCCCACGGCUUAACCGUGGAGGGUCAUUGGAAACUGGUCGACUUGAGUGCAGAAGAGGGAAGUGGAAUUCCAUGUGUAGCGGUGAAAUGCGUAGAGAUAUGGAGGAACACCAGUGGCGAGGGCGGCUUCCUGGUCUGUAACUGACACUGAGGCUCGAAAGCGUAGGGAGCAAACAGGAUUAGAUA